UUGUGGGUCCUUCUAGUUGUGCUAUGUGGGACGCCGCCUGCCUCAGCAUGGCUUGAUGAGUGGUGCUAUGUCCGUGCCCAGGAUGCGAACCAGUGAAACCCUGGACUGCUGAAGCAGAGCGUGGGAAUUUAACCACUAGGCCACAGGCCAGCCCCUGGUUUUUUUUUUUUUUUUAUAGGAAUAAAAUAAAGACAAAAGGCAAUCAUGUUGUUAGCAUAAUGCAUUCAAUACAACGUGCUUUGACUUGUUUUAACAUUACAACUUAACUAAAUUUACCUUGGUUAUUAGAAGAGUUGAAUAGAGACUUACUACUCUGAUUUAAGAAAGGGAUGAAAGAAUAAUGAAAACAUAAAAUGUAUGCAGUCACCAUCUAACUUCCUCCCUAUAGUUAAAUGUAAUUACAGUUUUCCAGCAAAGAAUUUGUGGAGAAUUAAAAUGAAAAGAAAGUCUUGGGAAAGUAGCCCCAACUGGUUGGAAAAUAUGAAAUUAAUUAUCUCAGCGUCCAAAAAGAAUGUGUUUCUUAUAAAGAAUCGGAGAUCUGUUGAACUUCAGAAUUAUUUACAUUUCUUCAGCAAUGUUCUCACUGUCAGUGGAACAGCAACAUGUGAAGAAGUAAUUUUGUCACAUGAUCCGUGUAAUCCAGAGCCGGGACAGCGUCCACGGAGCUCGUCCGGGCCAGCCCUCCGUUUCGUCGGAGGACGCCCCAACUGCUUGAAGUAAUUGGUUCCUGUCUGCUUUUGCUAGCUCGUCCUUUUAUGUAAAAACAAGCAAACGACUGAACGGAAAGUGAAGACCUGUUUUUCUCCUUGUCUUAAAAUUUCUUUAAAGAACAAUUUACCCCAAACAUUACAAAUUUCAGACACAGUUUUAGGUCUGUUUUGUUCUGUUUCACGUAAUAUCAAUACUAAGAAAAAGAUUAUCAACAAUUUACUAAAAUUUUCCCAAGAGAUGUUAAAAUUUAGUUUUACAUACAUAGAAAAAGAGUGGACCGCUUUGAAGGGGGAUUAGUUAGAAUUAAAGGCAUUGAAAAAGGAAAAUUGUAGAAGAAAAUCUUAGUGGUGCUCAUUCAGCUGCCAUCCAGAGGAAGCGGGGUGUUAGUCAUCAGACCUGAAGUAUUCAGAUCACAUUGGGCGUCUCAUGUCAACUUUGAGGUCAGUCUAUCAGGACAGCUUAGCUUGCAGACAUCAAACUGGAAAUUCAAUUGGCCCCUUGAUUUAAUACUUACUAAGAAAAGUUCUAUUUGGAUUUCCAUGAAGCUUUGCCGACAAAAGGAAAAUAAACUCUACCCUGGACAGACCAUAAGGUGCUUAGCUGGAGCCAUAUCUAGAGACUCAUUCUGGGAGAGAGCAGCCUCUAGAAAUUCUUUUGGUUUGAGGUUGCCGCGGCUUAUGCACAUGAAACAGGUGAAAUCAAUUCUGCUCCCUAACUGCAGCUGGUGGUCCUAGGCACCCACACCUGGGCUGAGGCAUGUGCAAACAGAUCAGGGAGCCAAAUGCUAAACCACCCCAGCCAUUCAGUCUUUUCCAGAGAGUACAUCUCUGAGAUGCCCCCAGAGUGGGUGGACUCCCGAGGCAUUGGUGAAUCCUAUAGAUGAAGAGCCAUGGUUCCAGCAAUCUUUGAGGCCAGAUGUGCUUUUCAGUCUUAGAAGCGCUGAGUUCUCCCGGUGAUUGGAAUUCUCCAUCUAUAAACCACCAGGUGGAAUCUGCAAAGUUAAGGAUCCAGUCACUUCCCCAAAUCCUGUGAACUCUCUCUGAGCACACAAGAAUUAUUGAGCAUUUACUCCGUGCCGGGCCUCUACUGCGAAGUGGGGAUAAACUACGAAAUUCUCCUUGCCAUCAAGGGAGCAGUAAUCUCACAGGGGAGACAGUCUCAGUCAUCUGCAACAGCACUUCCACAGCAGACCGGCAAGAGUGAAGACCUCAAAUUGGUAAUACCCACCACGCAAUUGAAUGUGGUCACUGAGCGCAGAGAUGGAGGUGGAACGGCAUUCGUGGAUACUUGUAUCCUGGUUCUUAUCAACUACCUGCAGCUCGCUGAAUAUACCUGGAGGUGGACCCCUGUCAACCAUCAGAAAGCUUUUUAAUCAACCUUAACCUGUGCCGCUCAGACCUGGAUGUGCUCAUAGAAAGGGCCUCAGGCGAAGAACGGUGAAUUGAAUACACACAGUCACGUCCAUGUUCUUCGGGGGCCUCUUGCAAACAACAGUAAAGGUAAGAGAAGAAUGAACAAGCAAGAAGCAUCUACACAGCCAGUGAAAGGGGAGACUCAACAUUUAUUGUAGUCAGCAGUGUGGGAGCCCAGGAUGAAAGCGUUUAAGCCUGGUGGAAUAGUUCACUAGGGCUGCCGUCACACAGUAUCACAGACCGGGUGCCUUCAACGACAGAAAUUUAUUUCCUUACAGUUCCGGAAGUUGGAAGUCCAAGAUCAAGAUGCUGUGAGGUUCGGUUUCUUCUGAGGCCACUCUCCUUGCUUUGCAGAUGCUGCCUUCUUGCUGUGUCUUCACAUGGUUGACCCCCUGUCUGUGUUCUAAUCUCUUCUUAGAAGGACACAAGUCAUAUUGGAUUAGGGCACACUCCAGUGACCUAAUUUAAUGCUAAUUACCUAUUUAAAGACCCUGUCUACAAUUAUAGUCACUGUCUGAGAGACUGAGCAUUAGGACGUCAACAUAUGAAUU
rnacentral:lncRNA from 1 species